rnacentral:rRNA from 1 species
GACGAACGCUGGCGGCGUGCUUAACACAUGCAAGUCGAACGGAAAGGCCCUGCUUUUGUGGGGUGCUCGAGUGGCGAACGGGUGAGUAACACGUGAGUAACCUGCCCUUGACUUUGGGAUAACUUCAGGAAACUGGGGCUAAUACCGGAUAGGAGCUCCUGCUGCAUGGUGGGGGUUGGAAAGUUUCGGCGGUUGGGGAUGGACUCGCGGCUUAUCAGCUUGUUGGUGGGGUAGUGGCUUACCAAGGCUUUGACGGGUAGCCGGCCUGAGAGGGUGACCGGCCACAUGGGGACUGAGAUACGGCCCAGACUCCUACGGGAGGCAGCAGUGGGGAGUAUGGCACAAUGGGCGGAAGCCUGAUGCAGCAACGCCGCGUGCGGGAUAACGGCCUUCGGGUUGUAAACCGCUUUCGCCUGUGACGAAGAGUGAGUGACGGUAAUGGGUAAGGAAGCACCGGCUAACUACGUG